rnacentral:rRNA from 1 species
AGAGUUUGAUCAUGGCUCAGAACGAACGCUGGCGGCGUGCCUAACACAUGCAAGUCGUGCGCGAAUGGAGCAAUCCUAGUAGAGCGGCGAACGGGUGCGUAACACGUGGGUAAUCUGCCCGGAAGAUCGGAAUAACCUGCCGAAAGGCAAGCUAAUACUGAAUAAGCCCACGGGGGCUUCGGCCCCUGAGGGAAAAGAUG